rnacentral:rRNA from 2 species
GGGGAAUUUUCCGCAAUGGGCGAAAGCCUGACGGAGCAAUACCGCGUGAGGGAGGAAGGCUCUUGGGUUGUAAACCUCUUUUCUUAGGGAAGAAAAAAAUGACGGUACCUAAGGAAUCAGCAUCGGCUAACUCCGUGCCAGCAGCCGCGGUAAUACGGAGGAUGCAAGCGUUAUCCGGAAUGAUUGGGCGUAAAGCGUCCGCAGGUGGCAUUUCAAGUCUGCGGUCAAAGGUCGAGGCUCAACCUCGAACAGGCCGUGGAAACUGAAAAGCUAGAGUGUGGUAGGGGCAGAGGGAAUUCCCAGUGUAGCGGUGAAAUGCGUAGAGAUUGGGAAGAACACCGGUGGCGAAAGCGCUCUGCUAGGCCAAGACUGACACUGAGGGACGAAAGCUAGGGGAGCGAAUGGGAUUAGAUACCCCAG